CUAAGACCUCUUCAUGGGGCUUCAUGAAAACUCAAGAAUAUGCUCUUCCCCUAAGCUAUACCUUGUACACUAGACCAAAAGUUUUUCAGAAGCAGGGUUGAAUUGGUUAAUGCCAAAUUCAAUCCUUCUUACCGUAAUGUAUUAAUACUAAUGUAGUCUUGAGGAGGAGGGAAUAGUGAGAGGUGUAGGUCAUGUGUGCUGUGGGAAUUAAAUACUAUUUUCAAUUGUUGAAAUUAGUCUUCUCAACUCUCUUAAUGUAUGAGGUCAUACUGAGAGAAAGACCAAUUUUCCAGAAUGAUGGCAGUACAGUCCAAGAACUAGUCUCCAGUGCAUUUAGAGAGCAAGCAGGUGUAUUAGGCUGAAGCAGGAGAGUUUCAAGAGGAAAUGUCUCAAAGACUGAAAGUAUUUAAACAUUUUGAAAUGUGAAGUUCUUUUGGAGAAUCAAAAGUUGAAUUAUCAAGUACAGAUUUUUUUUUUAAUUAGAGAAGAAAAAACUUUACAAGAAAUAUAAAUAUACUGUGUAUUCCUGUAAGCUUGUCAUUUAGCAUCCUAAAAGAGAGUGACUGUAUUCUGGGCACUCUGGAUUACACAGUACACAAUGGUGGUCCAGGCUAGUCUAUGCUGUAUAGAGUGAGUGACAGCUGGAGUAGUGGUUUGUCUUAGUUUGAGGUAACACAACAAAGUGCCAUAAAUAGAAUGGUCCACACACACACUAGAAAUAUAUUCAUAGUAUUUGAAACUGAGAAGUCAGAAGCUAGCGAAACCAACAGAUAGCUAAUUUAUCUAGCUUCUGUUAUAUUGAUUUCAACAUGGCUGACUGACAUACCUCUCAUUUCUUUUUUUUUUUUUUUUUUUCCUGAGACAGAGAUUCUCUGUGUAAUCUUGACUCUCCUGGAACUCGGUCUGUACACCAGGCCAGCCUUGAACUCUGUUGAGAUCUGCCUGAGUGCUGGGGAUUUGAGUCAUUCACCACCACUGCCCAGCCAUCUCUGGUUUCUUUAAAAAUGGCAGUUCUAAUCUCAUUUGUGAAGGCUUUGCCCUCAUGAUUUGAUCACUUCCUACUAAGGUCUCUACUUUGAUUGGCAUUUCAAAUGUAGGUGAAAGAAGACACAACACAUUGAAUCUAUAGUAGUGCAUACGGUUGAUCAUGGAGGCAGCGUUUUCAUUAACUGAUGAAGUAUGAAUUGGGUAGUGUGUAUAAGAAUAAUACUCUUCAUUUUACAUAUUAGAAAUUGGGAGAUAAACUGGGUAUAUUUGUGCAUGACUUGGAUCCCAGAAUUGGAGAAGCAAAGGCAGGUGGAUCUUAUUGGCUUUGAGGCCAGCCUGGUCUAGAUAGUUUCCAGACAGCCAGCAGUAUGGAGAGAGACCAUAAAAGAAAGAAAUUGGAAAGUAAUUUUUAAAAGUACCAGAUGAUAAAUUAGGAACAUCUUAUUCAGAAACAGGAAAGGAAUGUCUAAAAAUAAUCAGUUGGUUCUGGAGAGGGAGGGCAAUUUGAAAGUUUCAUGCAUCUGUCCAUGUUUGCACUAAUUGUUAAAAAAUAAAAGGGGUUAGUCAUGCUUGUGCCUUAUCCUUCCUUAAGGUGACUGAUGAUGCCUUUGAGACGCAUAUCUUGUGACAGGAAUAAUGACCUUCUAGCAGUGAAUAUAUACCUAUAAUCUAGCAGUGGGCAUGGAGGCUGGAGGAUCAAGUUUUCAAGGUUAUCUUUACAUUGCCAGUGGCACAGCCACAGUAACCAGAUGAAAUACCUGAUGGGUCAGUUUGUCCUGUCAUUUUGCACUAUAUGACCCCAACAUUAAACUGCAGCCCAAAGGUCUGUUAGCAUCAUAAUGUGUAUAAGCAUGUACAUACAUGGCCACUCUUAUCUGCAGUUCUAGGCUUUAGAGAAGUUUAAAAUCUAGGGAAAUGAUGCAGCCAAAGUUAGAUAGUAGAUGUUGCUGCUUAAGGAAAGAGCAUAUGCCAAUAAGCAAGCCCCUAUCAUUCCAACAUGCCAGUCAACAUUAAAAAGUGUUUGGAACCAUCAUAGUUUCCAAAGAACUAAUUUUCUGCUCCAAAUACACUGCCAUCUAAUUGCUUUUUACUGUUUCCACAGCCUUUAUGGCAUUGAAAAACGCUUCCAACAGGAGAGAAAGUAAAGGCUGCCAUGCCAUACUAGGUGCAAAUGGAGUUCAGGGUGCUGAUUGAUCCACCAGGCUGUGGAGGGCUUGCAGACCUGAAGUAGCAUUUUUGGGGGGCUGGUAUGUGAUUUGAGACAGGAAGGUUUCUCUAUGUAGCCCUGGCUGUCUUGGAAUUUGCCAAGGACCAGGUUGGCCUCAAACUUCCUAAGAUUUACCUGUGCAGCUGCUUUUAUAACAUUUUAUAAAUUAUAAAAUACAUUUUUCAGGAGCUUAUUGAUAAGUGUUAGGUAUUUUUGAUCAUUGGACAUGGAGUUUUGCUUUUUACUAUGUAAUCCAGUCCAGCCUAAAACUGAAAUUCUGGUUCUGCUUGUGAAGUACUGGGAUUAUAGAAAUACACCACUCACUUUGUUCCCCUUUUAGUUUUUUUGAGACAUGUUCUCCCUCUGUACCCGUGGCUGACCCUUAACUUGCAUGUAAACAAGGCUAACCUUGUAAUCCUUCUUCAGUUUCUGAAGUGCUAGGAAUCACAGGCCUGUGUGGUCAUGUUUUUAUUAUUAGCCUUUUUAUCUUUUCAUGUCUAAACUUCCAUCUUGUUUACAUCAGUGUGUAUGACUUGAGCAUAGAUGUUAGCUUUUUGAUAUUUCACUUCAUAGUUUUUCAGGUAAGAAAAGUUUAACAGCAUACCGUCAUCUGGGUUUUGAGCCUUUUUAGAUAACUAGUGUUUUGGAUUGCAGGUUUUCUGCACUUGAAUGUAAACUUCGUUUUUGUUGUAAUAUAUGAGUGCUUUGCCUGCAUGUAUGUCUAUGUACCUUGUCCAUGCCUACUGUGCUCAGGUCAGAAGAAAGGCCAGAUUCCCUGGAACUGGAGUUACAGAUGGUUGUGAGCUACUGUGUGGGUGCUGGGUCCUCUGCAAGAGCACCAAGUGUUAACCACCUGAGUCAUCUCUCCAGAUCCCCUUUUUGCAUUUUUGUGCAAUUUACAUUUUUGUGUAUGUAUAUGUGUACCUUGUGCAUGUUGUUACCCUUAAGUCCUGAAUAUUGCCAUAAACUGUAGUUACCAGCCACUGUAAGCUGUAACAAUCCCAUAGGUAUGUUGGAAACGAAACCCCAGGUUCUCUGCAAGAACAGUAAUUGCUUAAUUUUUUUUUUCUUUUUCUUUUUUUCGGAGCUGGGGAUCGAACCUAGACCUUGCGCUUUCUAGUCAAGCGCUCUACCACUGAGCUAAAUCCCCAACCCAAAUUUCUUAAUUCUUGAGUAUUCUAUUCCCACAUUUUAAAUUUACUUGACAUGCGGUGUGAGCAGUGUGAGGUGAGUAGCUGAGUUUGAUUUCUAAAUGACUACUUAGUUGAAAGAUUUUAAAUCUGUUCUAAAAGGGCCAGUGAACUGUUUCAAUGAGUUAAAGCUGACAAUUCAAUACCCAAAACCUUUGGUGGAAAGAGAGAAUUGACUGUUGAAAGUUGUCCUCUGACCUUCAUGUAUGUACACUUUGACAUUCAUACACAAUACACAUAUAGUAAAUAGAACCUCAGCUACAAUAUGGAAUUGUGGCCUCUUUCUUUUCUUCCUCUCUCUCUCUCUCUCUCUUUCUUUCUUUGUGGUGUUAUUGAGGUGGAUCUCUACAAUGUUUUAAAGCUUGCUAUGUAGAUCAGACUGUCCUCAUAUUCUCAUAUAUCCUCCUGCUUCUGCAUCCCAAGUGUUGGCACUAAAGGUGUGUACCACUGUGACUUUUUUAACUGAAGGCCUGAUGUGAAGACAGGAUGUCUCCUACCUAUAAUACCCUGCAUUUCUAGAGAAACUACUGCUAUAGACCAGUUUAACUUAGUCCCUAGGGGCAGAAAUAGGCAGGCUUAAAUUGGGCUGGAGUGCUUUGAGUGUAAUUUGAGAUCUUUUAUCUUUUAGAGAAAUCUUUAGUGCUUCCUGGUCCACUUAUCACAUAAUACCCAACAUCUGCUCUUCAGAAUUGAACCCAUAGGGGCCUAUUAGUCAUAACAGGUAAUAUUUGUCUCCUUACCUGUUUCCUCUCAGUCUAAUAACAGUUAACAUUUUUGGUGGGCAACUUGGCAAGAAUAUAGUUAUUUUUGUACUGAGGAGUAGGGCUUCAUGAAUGCUAAUAAAUGCUAUGAAUUCCAGUUGUGUGUGUGUUGAAAGGGAAAGAGUUUAUGCAUAAGUUCAUAUGUGUGUGAGUCCUGAGUUUGAAAUAGAUCUUCUCCAUGUUUUGUUUGUUUGUUUGUUUGUUUUGGUUUUUUUUGGAGAGGGUCUCUGUAACCUAGGCUGCCAACUUGUUAUAUAGACCAUGCUAGCUUCUUAACUUGGAGAGAUUCACUUGUCUUUAUUCCCAAGUGUGCACUACGUCAGGCCUCUACACCAUUUUUAAAAAUGUUCUUAGUUUUGGUGUUUAUGUAUGGGGGGUGCAGGCAUGCUAACUGCUGAGCAGUCUUAGUCC
ensembl:lncRNA